GACGAACGCUGGCGGCGUGCCUAAUACAUGCAAGUAGGACGCAGUUGCGAACGGGUGAGUAACGCGUAGGUAACUGCCUCUUAGAGGGGGAUAACUAUUGGAAACGAUAGCUAAUACCGCAUACUAGUAGAUGGACCUGCGUUGUAUUAGCUAGUAGGUAGGGUAAUGGCCUACCUAGGCGACGAUACAUAGCCGACCUGAUAGGGUGCACUGCCAAACAGGGACUGAGACACGGCCCAGACUCCACCGGGAGGCAGCAGUAGGGAAUCUUCGGCAAUGGGGGGAACCCUGACCAAGCAACGCCGCGGGAGUGAAGAAGUUUUUCGGAUCGUAAAGCUCUGUUGUUAAGGAAGCGGUACUUAACCAGAAAGGGACGGCUAACUACGUGCCAGCCGCCGCGGUAAUAC
rnacentral:rRNA from 1 species